AGAGAGAGAGAGAGAGAGAGAGAGAGAGAGAGAGAGAGAGAGAGAGAGAGAGAGAGAGAGAGAGAGAGAGAGAGAGAGAGAGAGAGAGAGAGAGAGACCAACAACAAUAACUUCUUCAAAUAUCAGUUAGGAAAGGGUUAGUUAGGACAAGUUAGGGGCAUUCUAUAACUUACUGUGAUAGAAAACGGUGAUCUGUGUGUGUGUGUGUGUGUGUGUGUGUGUGUGUGUGUGUGUGUGUGUGUGUGUGUGUGUGUGUGUGUGUGUGUGUGUGUGUGUGUGUGUGUGU